AACGAUGGACACUACUCGCACUAAGCGGCCGCCAUCUUGGCGACGUAGCGGAAGAGGAGGAGCCCUUUCGCCAGCUUUUCAUUUUAUUUCUAAAACAAUGGCGGACAGCACAAGCGGUAGACCACGAAGCUACAGACCGUAAAUAGACGUUUCCUGGAGGUGCUGCUGGUCCUCUGCUGCCCUCCAGACAUCUGCAUCUGGCUCCAAUGACCUCUGGCACCUCACAUCCACCUCCAGGGCCUUUAAGAAGAUGGACCGCCAUCGCGACUUCAGUAUCCCGAAGGACCUCUCCACAACACACCUCGCCUUUGACAGGCAGCAGUUGUAGCUUGGAGGCGGACAGGCUGCCUGAAGGGGGUCAUGAGGCAGAUGGGUUGGGACAGGCGGGGGUAGCCACCAUCCCCAAGGAUACAGUAUCCUGGUGGAGGGUAUGACUGCUCAUAGAAGAUGGGGCUGUUAUUCAGGACCCUGGCAUCAUGCACUGAGCCCGGGGCCUGUCGAAGGCCCUGGCCACCACCCGAUAGGAGGUGGCGCUGGGCAAAAAAUAAAAACUAGACAGGAGAUCUCGGGGCCCCAACCGUGGUCACAGUCAGUGCCCAGCACAGCCAUGAGGGCGUUGAAUGACUCUCGGUGAGCCUGAAGUCCACCCUCAUGUCACUGUGGCCAUCACAAUACAACGCCAGCAGUGGCAUUGCAACAUUGAUACGGCAGCGCCGCUGGGACUGGGUGGCUGCUGUAGAGUGUGGGGAGGGGAGGGGAAGAUUAUAUUAAUAUGUAAGUCAUUUUAUCAAUAAAAUGUUGUCAUUGA